rnacentral:piRNA from 1 species
UGUCAGGAUGAAAGGUGCUCACAGAUUGGU